AUUGAACGCUGGCGGCAGGCCUAACACAUGCCAGUCGAACGGUAACAGGGAUCAGCUUGCUGAUUCGCUGACGAGUGGCGGACGGGUGAGUAAUGUCUGUGAAACUGCCUGAUGGAGGGGGAUAACUACUGGAAACGGUAGCUAAUACCGCAUAACGUCGCAAGACCAAAGAGGGGGACCUUCUGGCCUCUUGCCAUCGGAUGUGCCCAGAUGGGAUUAGCUAGUAGGUGGGGUAACGGCUCACCUAGGCGACGAUCCCUAGCUGGUCUGAGAGGAUGACCAGCCACACUGGAACUGAGACACGGUCCAGACUCCUACGGGAGGCAGCAGUGGGGAAUAUUGCACAAUGGGCGCAAGCCUGAUGCAGCCAUGCCGCGUGUAUGAAGAAGGCCUUCGGGUUGUAAAGUACUUUUAGCGGGGAGGAAGGGAGUAAAGUUAAUACCUUUGCUUAUUGACGUUACCCGCAGAAGAAGCACCGGCUAACUCCGUG
rnacentral:rRNA from 1 species